UACGUAGGGUGCGAGCGUUAAUCGGAAUUACUGGGCGUAAAGCGUGCGCAGGCGGUGAGCUGUGUCCGAUGUGAAAGCCCCGGGCUUAACCUGGGAAUGGCAUUGGAAACUGGCUCGCUGGAGUGUGGCAGAGGGGGGUGGAAUUCCGCGUGUAGCAGUGAAAUGCGUAGAGAUGUGGAGGAACACCGAUGGCGAAGGCAGCCCCCUGGGUCAAGAUUGACGCUCAUGCACGAAAGCGUGGGGAGCAAACAGG
rnacentral:rRNA from 1 species